UACAGAGGUCUCAAGCGUUGUUCGGAUUCAUUGGGCGUAAAGGGUGCGUAGGUGGCGGGGUAAGUCUGGUGUGAAAUCUCGGGGCUCAACCCCGAAACUGCACUGGAUACUGCCCUGCUUGAGUACUGGAGAGGAGAUUGGAAUUUACGGUGUAGCAGUGAAAUGCGUAGAUAUCGUAAGGAAGACCAGUGGCGAAGGCGAAUCUCUGGACAGUUACUGACACUGAGGCACGAAGGCCAGGGGAGCAAACGGG
rnacentral:rRNA from 1 species